GCUAAUGAUCCUCAGCAAAUCUCCCUGAUGAGUAACAGAAAACUGCAAAGGGACUAAAAUUCAGUUUAUAAAACUUACCAAAAGACUCUUCAUAAAUUCUCAUUUCCAACCAGGCCUACGCCUCCAUUACGUUGGCAGCAGUAUUUUUCCAACAUGCUGUGUUUUUAAAGUAUACUUUUCAAAACCCAUUGCCAUAAAUUUGAACUCAUUCUGGGCCCACUGUUAGUUUUAUUGUUCUGUCAGAACACAUCAAUCUUCUGCAGAUUACAGGAGGAUCGAUCCUAGAAAUAGUGCUGGAAACCUUGAAAAGCUGCACUGAGAAAUGAAAUACUUCUGACACAGUGUGUGGAGGUGACAUUACUUGAAUCUUUACAUUUUACUGCAAUCAUUGACUUUGUUAAGGAGAAGAUGGGGUAGCAGGAAUCUAGGAAACUAGAAGUUUAGUGCUAACCUGAGUAGUGAAUAUGAAAAAGGCCCUUUCUUCCAUGCAGAUGACUGAUCAUUUUUACUAAACGAACUGAUGUAAUCUUAAAAUCCAGCUAAUAUUGCAGAACUGUGAACUGAGGGAUGUCACGCAGAGGCAGAAUUGUAAAUCAUAGAGUCAGGGAAUAACUCAGGUUGGAAGGGACCUCGCUGUCAUACAGUCCAGCUCCUACAUCGAGUUCAGCUCCCAAUGAAAGCCUUCCUCCUGCUGUGCAGAUUUGUUCCUGCAGGAUUUAGCUCCAGCCCUUGCUUCUGAAGAUGGGAAGGAAUAUAAGAAGUUGAGGAGCACUCAGUGACUUGAGAUUCCGCUUCUGUGACUCCAAAAGGUCUCACCUCGUGCUUUAAAUCAGCGUCCUGAUGACAGUAGAUCAGAAAAAGAGAAUCCCUUCAAGUGGCUUAGCUUUGCCUGUAUUUCAAGGUGAAACAUGUCCUUUUGAGGAGAAAGGCUUCACUUCCUCGUGCCAUUUUGCUGACUCAGGUCUCAGUGGUAUUUUGGGGAUCUGCGUUCUUCUUCAUACCCUGGCACUUUGGAAAAGCACUGUAGAAUUUAACAGCAAUAACUGUAGAGAACAUCAUAGAAAUUGCAUUUCUAUACCUGCAGGACUGAACAGAGAUUAAUGGAACUUCCACAUUCUUAUCAAGAGCCCCAAGGACUGGGAGGUCAGGUUGGAUAUCAGGAGAGAAGGUUCUUCACCAGCGGGCAGUGAUCAUGGAGCAGACUCCCCGAGGUGCUGGGCAGCCCUGAGCUUCCAGAUCAACAUCUCUCAGACAUUGGGUCUGAUUUUUGGGUGGCCGCACGUGAAGCCAGAGGUUGGACUCAACGAAUCCUUAUGGGUCCCUUCCAACUCGGGAUAUUCUAUGAUUCAGUUACUACAUUUCAACGAGAAACACAAGGAAAUCGGUAUUAUUAGUAAUAGACAAAGAUGCCUCCGUGUAGCAUGACCCACUGGAAGCAUCGCAUCUUCCACCUCCAGACAUGGGCAGGGUAUUUGUGACUUGAAGACGCCACCAGACCUCAGCUUUUCCCUCAGAAAGCUGUAGAGGGUUCUGCACGCCCAGCUGAACCCCGUGCCGCUC
rnacentral:lncRNA from 7 species